AGUCAUUGCUGGAAGCUAGAAUGACAACUAUGCCUGUCAUAAUGGACUACAGUUUCCAGACUUCUAAAUCUCAGAGGCUGGUUGGAUGUUCUCAGUAGCCAGCAUUGUCUUUCAUCACUGAGUGCAGUAGGAAGAAGGAGUCAGCACCAUGUGACUCGUUAGCUCUCCUUGGACUCCAAGGAAGUGCUCUGUGGACCACAGUUUGACAACAGCAGUAACAACAGAAGACUGCAUUGAGCCCUGCUAUUAUCAAUUAAAAUUAAGAUUAUUAAAACUAGGCUAAGUCAAAAGCAUAAGAUUCAAAAGCUGCCUGCAGCCAGACCACCUCUGAGUGUGAUCUUAUCAGAGCACCCAUGCUGCAGAGUUGGGGUUGGUCUAUACUAGGAUGAGAGAAGACUAAGAAAAACCGAGGGUACAGAAAGAAGUGGUAAUGGUGCAUUGAGUGGCACACUUCCAUCAGAGUCAGCACUGAUGCUAUGCCCUGGUAUAGUGUUAGGAGAAAAACAUUGUUGACAGGGCUGGUUUUAGGAUAAGAUGGAAAACAGCUGCUGUCCACUUGUGGUCAGGAAAGAUCCCACAGGCUUUUCACAAGCACGGAGUGUUAGCUUCAGUAUGCAAUUUGGAUAAUUAUGUUCUGCCUACUCAGGUGAUUCCUGCGGUUUCAGUUCAGGUAUGAGUCAGGACUAAUUCUACUAAGUCGAUGGAGUUACACCAGUGUAAAACUAAUAUACAUGAGAGGAGAAUUGGACCCUAUUAUUUCCACUUAUGGUGUCAAACUAGUACAAUGUUUCCCAGCAGUGGGUCCUGACCCACCAGUGGAUUGCAGGAAGGUUCUCGGUGGGUCGCAUAUACCCAGAGGCACUCUCUCUUCCACAUGGCAGCAACAUGGGGAGCAGGAUCUGGUCAGCGGCAGCAGUGCGGAGGAAGCAGCUGGCACCAGAAAGGUCCAUCAACACCAGACAGGCUAUUGUGGGGUGUUAAAGAGGAUAAAAGACAUUUGUUGUUCUGCUCUUCCUCCCCCACUCCAUGAAGAUGAGUCAUGCAAGUCAGUUGAGCUUGCAGCUCUGAGCACAUGACGGGAAGGUGAUAAAAACCUCUGGUAAGAAGAAACUGAUUAUUUCCACACUGCUUGGACUCUACGGGGCAAGGGUUUUCUAGGCAUAAUAAAGAGAUUCCCAGCUGCUUAGCCUGUGUUAGCCAUAAAAGACAUAUAGAGCUUGUUUAUUAUAGA